rnacentral:rRNA from 1 species
AUUGAACGCUGGCGGCAGGCCUAACACAUGCAAGUCGAGCGGAGCGGCGGACGGGUGAGUAAUGCCUAGGAAUCUGCCUGGUAGUGGGGGAUAACGUCCGGAAACGGGAGCUAAUACCGCAUACUAUCAGAUGAGCCUAGGUCGGAUUAGCUAGUUGGUGGGGUAAAGGCCUACCAAGGCGACGAUCCGUAACUGGUCUGAGAGGAUGAUCAGUCACACUGGAACUGAGACACGGUCCAGACUCCUACGGGAGGCAGCAGUAGGGAAUAUUGCGCAAUGGGCGAAAGCCUGAUACAGCAAUGCCGCGUGAGUGAAGAAGGUCUUCGGAUUGUAAAGCUCUGUAAGUAGGGAAGCGUUACCAACAGAGAAAGCACCGGCUAACUACGUGCCAGCAGCCGCGGUAAUAC